AACGAACGCUGGCGGCAUGCCUAACACGUGCAAGUCGAACGAGACCUUCGGGUCUAGUGGCGCACGGGUGCGUAACGCGUGGGAAUCUGCCCUUUGCUUCGGAAUAACAGUUAGAAAUGACUGCUAAUACCGGAUGAUGUCUUCGGACCAAAGAUUUAUCGGCAAAGGAUGAGCCCGCGUAGGAUUAGGUAGUUGGUGGGGUAAAGGCCUACCAAGCCGACGAUCCUUAGCUGGUCUGAGAGGAUGAUCAGCCACACUGGGACUGAGACACGGCCCAGACUCCUACGGAGGCAGCAGUGGGGAAUAUUGGACAAU
rnacentral:rRNA from 1 species